GGAACUCUCAAACAUAAGUCAAUAUUUCCCUGUCCUAACCAACCCAACCAAAGUACCAGACAACUUGGGACAGCUCUUAUACCCCAGAGCCCAUUAAAAUUAUUCAAACUAGCCAAUCCUUAACCUGCUUAUUUUACGUGGCCCAUUUCUUCCUGUGAAAACCACACUAAAGGUUUUUGUUCAUGCUUUCCCAGGGCUCCUUCUGCCUUGUGGCUGACCCUAGUGUUGCUCAUGCAGCCCUGCAUGCCAUGGCAUGCCAUAUGUCUGCUGUUUCUACAGAUCUACCCAAGAUAUUACCUUAUUCUGCAAACAAGGACUUUAAGCACAAAGAAGGAAAUCAUAGUAGAAGUUUCAACUGUCAACUUCUGCUUAGGAUAUCCUUAAUAAAACCUUCAUGUCGAGAUUUGUGAAACAACUGACGAAAUCACUGGCCUGAAGUUGCAAACAAAGUAUUAAUCAAGGCAGCCCCACUGUGGCUUAAUAAUAUCAAUGACAGACACUUCUUGGCAAUCAAGGAUCCUCUGAUGAUCAUCUAAUCAAACAGCACUGAUUCUAUCACACUAUGGCUUUGGUUGAGCUUAACAGAGAAGAGGAUUCAUCCAUAACCAAACAGGUUCAACAGAACCUUGAAAAUCAAAGGAAAGUGCAAAAGAAAGUGGUUCUAACUUUGAAUUGUGGCAUCAAGGAACAGUAAAUAAAAUAAAUUGAAUAACAACUUCUGCAGAGCUGAGAAGUCUCAAAGUUUCCUUCAUCUAAGAAUAUGUUAAAAUGACAUUGAUGGGGUCCAGCAUAUUGGAGCCUGAAAUCUGACUUCUUCACGUGAAGGUGUGGGUAUUAAUUUGGUUAAUUUCUAAU
rnacentral:lncRNA from 10 species